rnacentral:rRNA from 1 species
UAAGCGGAGGAAAAGAAACUAACAAGGAUUCCCCUAGUAACUGCGAGUGAAGCGGGAAAAGCUCAAAUUUAAAAUCUGGUGGUCUUUGGCCAUNCGAGUUGUAAUCUAGAGAAGCGUCUUCCGCGCUGGACCGUGCACAAGUCUCCUGGAACGGAGCGUCGUAGAGGGUGAGAAUCCCGUCUUUGGCAUGGACACACCAGGGCUUUUGUGAUGCGCUCUCGAAGAGUCGAGUUGUUUGGGAAUGCGGCUCAAAAUGGGUGGUGAACUCCAUCUAAAGCUAAAUAUUGGCGAGAGACCGAUAGCGAACAAGUACCGUGAGGGAAAGAUGAAAAGCACUUUGGAAAGAGAGUGAAACAGUACGUGAAAUUGUUGAAAGGGAAACGCUUGAAGUCAGUCGCGUCGACCGAGACUCAGCCUCGCCUCGGCUUGGCGUACUUCUCGGCCCGACGGGUCAGCAUCAAUUUCGCCUCUUGGAUAAUGGCGAGGGAAACGUGACACCUUUACGGUGUGUUAUAGUCUCUCGUCGCAUGCAAGGGUCGGGAUUGAGGAACUCAGCACGCGCCUUUGGGCGUCGGGGCUUUGCCUACGAUACGUGCUUAGGACGUUGGCGUAAUGGCUUCAAACGACC